rfam:Glycine soja cultivar W05 scaffold253_45, whole genome shotgun sequence.
CUGUUAAGUGAUGAUGUGAUAGACAAAGUGUUAUGUCAUCAUCUCUUAUCAUUGACACCUCAUUGUCACAUCAUCACCUUCAAUGAUGUGAUAAUAAUGUGUCAGUAAUUAGACCUGAUGACGUGACACUCUAUCUGUUACGUCAUCACUUAAUGGAA